AAGAUAUGUAGUGGCAAGUGGAUUUUUUUCCCUCAUAUUGCUCCCUCACAAUUCCAGGCAGCAGUGCCUUUAUUUUUUCCCCCGCCAUCACAGUUCUUGGCAGUCAGUGACUGACUUAGUCAUCCCCAACCCGAAUGGAAUUCCAGUAUUGCAAGUAGUUUUGCAUGGAAGAGGCAAUGCCAAUUCACUGGCAGUGAGUUUUGAGUGCUCGAAGAUUUGCAUCAGGUUGGUGUGUUGAGCCGCAACUGGUGGAGGCAGAUGCCAAAGAUUUUGGGAGCAUCCAAGAAGUGGUAGUAACUGCUGCUGCUGCUGCUACGUGCACAACACGUGACUGGAGACCGUGUUAUCGGAUUCUGGUGUGGAUUACCCGCAAAGGAACGCAAAGGUCGACUCAUACCGAUUGCAGAAUGGGUUGCUGCUGCAGUAGUUCCGACUCCCAGGACAUCACGGUUCCCGAUCGGCCGGGACCCCCCGAGGAUGCCCCCACCGGCGUGCCGUACGGUUUGCAGGACAACUCCGGCAACGACAAUUCCGGCGCCACCGGGUACAACGUGAAUGGUUGAGGUUCGAGAAUUCGUGUGAAGGCGUAAAGAUUUCUAUAACUUUUUUUUUUCUAUAAACGAAAAAGCAGUU